rnacentral:lncRNA from 1 species
AUCUUUGCGCCCGAUUUUUGUUCAUUUUUUUAUCCAAUUAUUUUUAUAUUUUAGCCAAUUUAAUUAGUAGGAUUAUUUAGAAUUAACCAUAUUUUAGAUAUAAUUUUAUUUUAUUCUUUUAAUUUUUUGUAUUUAUAAUUUUGUUUUUUUAAAGCCUUUUUUCUAAACUUUAAGAAUCAAGUUUUAAUUUAAAAGAAAAGAGAGUAAAAAUAUCUUCUUCUCCCUCCACAAAUUGAUUGCCAUGCAGCGCAUAUUGAAAGGAUAAUUGAGGGCCACAUAAAUGUUUUUUCUCUCACACAUAAAAAAAUACUCUCUCGUUUUCAGAAGGAAAAAAAGAAGAUUGAGAUUUUUUUGGUUUUUUCUUCUCCUUCAAUCACUAUCUUCUUCCUCUCACCCUCAUUGCUACACAUAAACGCCUCCCUCCGCCACUAAAACCAACUCCAUCCGCCUUUCCUUCUCCAUUCUUCUCUGUUGUCUUUCCACCCUCUUCAACUUUUCACAACUGCGUCGCCCUCAUCACCACGAACAACACAUAAAACAUCGUCGUGAAACCUCCUCAACCGUGCGCACAACAACAACCAUGACAAAUUCCACACUCAUGCUUAUGCAUCCUUAACAAACAACAAACUUCAUAAACAAAACAAUCACCAACAACCUCCAUCAGAACCGAAACUGCCUCCUUCACUAACAACAACAAUAAUUUGAACAGUAAACAACACCUCAACCGUGAGAAACUCAUAACCGGAACUUUUCCAUGCUCGCCGGAACGAACCACAAACCCGAGGUAUCGAUUCGCACUUUAUGUAUUUUGAAUCAUCCAUUAUUGUUUGGUCGUUGUUGUUUCACAUAAGAGAUGAAUGAUAUUUUUUAUUUGAGUAGAAUAGAUGUUUUCGCCCUUCAUGCUGUUUUGAUGUACAUAUAUGUUUUUUUUUUGGAGAAGAGGAACAGUCAUUGUGAAACACGUUGGUUCUACUGAAAAUUGAAGUUAAUCUUUUGCUUUAA